AUUGAACGCUGGCGGCAGGCCUAACACAUGCAAGUCGAACGAGUGGCGGACGGGUGAGUAAUGUCUGGGAAACUGCCUGAUGGAGGGGGAUAACUACUGGAAACGGUAGCUAAUACCGCAUACCAUCAGAUGUGCCCAGAUGGGCUUAGCUAGUUGGUUGGUUAACGGCUCACCAAGGCGACGAUCCCUAGCUGGUCUGAGAGGCUGACCAGCCCCAAUGUAACUGAGACACGUUCCAGACUCCUACGGGAGGCAGCAGUGGGGAAUAUUGCACAAUGGGCGAAAGCCUGAUACAGCAAUGCCGCGUGUAUGAAGAAGGCCUUCGGGUUGUAAAGUACUUUCAGCGGGGAGGCGUUACCCGCAGAAGAAGCCCCGGCUAACUCCGUGCCAGCAGCCGCGGUAAUAC
rnacentral:rRNA from 1 species